rnacentral:rRNA from 1 species
UAGGGAAUCUUCCACAAUGGACGCAAGUCUGAUGGAGCAACGCCGCGUGAGUGAAGAAGGCUUUCGGGUCGUAAAACUCUGUUAUUGAAGAAGAACGUGUGUGACAGUAACUGGUCAUGCAGUGACGGUAUUCAAUCAGAAAGUCACGGCUAACUACGUGCCAGCAGCCGCGGUAAUACGUAGGUGGCAAGCGUUGUCCGGAUUUAUUGGGCGUAAAGCGAGUGCAGGCGGUCUUUUAAGUCUGAUGUGAAAGCCUUCGGCUUAACCGAAGAAGGGG